rnacentral:rRNA from 1 species
UACGGAGGGUGCAAGCGUUAUCCGGAUUCACUGGGUUUAAAGGGUGCGUAGGCGGCCUGUUGCGUCCGCUGUGAAAUCCCGGGGCUCAACCCCGGGCCUGCAGUGGAUACGGGCUGGCUAGAGGCAGGCAGGGGGAGAACGGAAUUCCUGGUGUAGCGGUGAAAUGCGCAGAUAUCAGGAGGAACACCGGUGGCGAAGGCGGUUCUCUGGGCAUGUCCUGACGCUGAGGAGCGAAAGUGUGGGGAGCGAACAGG